UACGUAGGGAGCAAGCGUUGUUCGGAUUUACUGGGCGUAAAGGGCGCGUAGGCGGCGCGGUAAGUCACUUGUGAAAUCUCUGAGCUUAACUCAGAACGGCCAAGUGAUACUGCAGUGCUAGAGUGCAGAAGGGGCAAUCGGAAUUCUUGGUGUAGCGGUGAAAUGCGUAGAUAUCAAGAGGAACACCUGAGGUGAAGACGGGUUGCUGGGCUGACACUGACGCUGAUGCGCGAAAGCCAGGGGAGCAAACGGG
rnacentral:rRNA from 1 species